AAGGUGUUCUUUUCCCUCAGAGCAUGGACGUGAGUGGAACAGUUGGUAACUGAAAUGAGCAGAGUCCCUUUGGGAGACUAAGAGGAGAAAAGGACUCUGAGGACAUAAUCUACCUGUUGACAGACCCUUCAGAGAAGUCUACCUCAAGCCUUCUAGGAAAGACUGGCUACUGUGAAG
rnacentral:lncRNA from 1 species